rnacentral:rRNA from 1 species
GAUGAACGCUAGCGGCAGGCUUAAUACAUGCAAGUCGUGGGGCAGCAGGACUGUAGCAAUACAGUUGCUGGCGACCGGCAAACGGGUGCGGAACACGUACGCAACUUACCCUGAACUGGGGGAUAGCCCGGGGAAACCCGGAUUAAUACCCCGUAAUAUAAUGGAGUGGCAUCACUUUAUUAUUAAAGCUCCGGCGGUUCGGGAUGGGCGUGCGGCUGAUUAGGUAGUUGGUUGAGGUAACGGCUCACCAAGCCUACGAUCAGUAACUGGUGUGAGAGCACGACCAGUCACACGGGCACUGAGACACGGGCCCGACUCCUACGGGAGGCAGCAGUAAGGAAUAUUGGGAAAUGGAGGCAACUCUGACCCAGCCAUGCCGCGUGGAGGAGGAAGGCCCUCUGGGUUGUAAACUUCUUUUAUAGGGGAAGAAACCUGUGUAUUCUUACGCAGUUGACGGUACCCUAGGAAUAAGCACCGGCUAACUCCGUG